UACAGAGGGUGCAAGCGUUAAUCGGAGUUACUGGGCGUAAAGGGCGCGUAGGCGGUUGAAUAAGUGAGUUGUGAAAUCCCUGGGCUUAACCUAGGAACUGCAACUUAGACUGUUUGACUGGAGUACUGUAGAGGGUAGUGGAAUUUCCGGUGUAGCGGUGAAAUGCGUAGAGAUCGGAAGGAACACCAGUGGCGAAGGCGGCUACCUGGACAGAUACUGACGCUGAGGCGCGAGAGCGUGGGGAGCAAACAGG
rnacentral:rRNA from 1 species